ACGAACGCUGGCGGCGUGCUUAACACAUGCAAGUCGAACGGAAAGGCCCUGCUUGCAGGGUACUCGAGUGGCGAACGGGUGAGUAACACGUGGGUGAUCUGCCCUGCACUUCGGGAUAAGCCUGGGAAACUGGGUCUAAUACCGGCUAGGAGCCAUUUUUAGUGUGAUGGUUGGAAAGUUUUUUCGGUGUAGGAUGAGCUCGCGGCCUAUCAGCUUGUUGGUGGGGUAAUGGCCUACCAAGGCGGCGACGGGUAGCCGGCCUGAGAGGGUGGACGGCCACAUUGGGACUGAGAUACGGCCCAGACUCCUACGGGAGGCAGCAGUGGGGAAUAUUGCACAAUGGGCGCAAGCCUGAUGCAGCGACGCCGCGUGGGGGAUGACGGCCUUCGGGUUGUAAACUCCUUUCGCUAGGGACGAAGCUUUUUGUGACGGUACCUAGAUAAGAAGCACCGGCUAACUACGUG
rnacentral:rRNA from 1 species